UUUAAAAUCCUGUAGUGUGAACUAGGCUUAAGGUUGCUCGUGGGCAAUUUUUAGUCCCUUCUUCUCUGGUCAGUGAGGUUCUGCGUGGCAUCCACGAUGAGGCCGGUCACCAAGGCAGAACAUUGUCUUUAGCUAGACAGAGAUUUUCAUGGGUUGGCCAAGAGAGUGACAUUAGAGAAUAUGUGAGACAUUGCCAACGCUGUGUGGUUAGCAAAACCCCUGAACCAGAAGGAAGGGCCCCUUUAGAAAGUAUUCGGACAGUCAGGCCGCUAAAACUAUUCUGUAUAGACUUUUGGUCUGCCGAAAACUCUUUUGGCAAGAGUGUAGACGUUCUAGUGGUAACAGACCACUUUACUAAAAUGGCCAAUGCAUUCCUGUGCAAGAAUCAAUCUGCAUCUCAAGUUGCUCGGCAAUUAUGGGACAAGUUCUUUUGUGUCUAUGGAUUUCCACAAAGAAUCCAUUCAGACCAAGGAGCAAAUUUUGAGAGCAGAUUAAUUAAGGAACUCUUGCAGAUUGCUGGUGUACAGAAGUCGCGAACGACAGCAUACCAUCCGAUGGGCAACGGCCAAGUAGAACGGUUUAAUCGCACUUUGGGUAACAUGAUUAGAGCGCUACCCCCGAGAACCAAACAGGACUGCCCACGUAUGCUGCAAACUUUGACAUUCACCUACAACUGUACUGCCCAUGAGUCAACUAGUUACGCACCAUUUUACCUCAUGUUUGGUUGCAUUCCGAGGUUACCCGUCGAUUUAAUGUUCCAAAGUGUGGAGCGGGAUAAUACCUUUGCAGAUUAUGAUCAGUAUGUGAGGAAAUUGGUGGAUAAUCUCAAAGAAGCCAUGUUGGUUGCUCAGGUGAACAACUCUGCGAGUCAGCUACGGCAGACCGAGCACUACAACAAAAAAGUCAAAGGCAGAGACAUCGAGGAAGGUGAUUAUGUGCUACUCGCCAACAGAGGAGAACGUGGUCGACGCAAGCUAGCCAACAGGUGGGAUUCAACACUGCACGUUGUGUUAUCUGUGGACCCGAGAUGUCAUACCGGAUUAGGAAUACUCGAACUAAUCAGGAGAAAGUUGUUCAAAGGAACUUGAUUUUAAGAAGCAACUUCCUACCCAUUGAAGAGCCUAACUCUGAGCAAUCUCACACUGAUCAUGAAACUGAUGAGUUUGAAAGUGAUACUACUUUUGUUGAAUCAGAGGAUACUGAUGAUGGAAAUGAUGGACCAGCUCAUUCCCCAGUUUGCCCAUCGAGUUCUUCAUCUGAUGAAAGAAUCAGAGACUCAAAUUCUCAUACAGGACUAGAGAAUAUCCUCGACAAGUCAGUUCUUGUGGAAAAUGAGGAUCAGGAAACUGUUCUGAGUUCUGAGUCUGACCUUUCAGAUACAGAAGUAGUGUAGGAAAGUGAUUAUGAUUUGCCUGUGAGAGUUGUUCAGCCUUCGAGUACAGGUCACCCAGUGAGAACUCGGGCUGGCAGAUUGGUAAAACCAAUAAAUAGACUUAUCCAAAUUAUGUCGCAGAAAACCCUCUUGCGCAGCCCUUCUCUAAACCUUCUCUGGACAAAAGCUACUUAAGUCAGAUUCAUGAACUUCCUGUGAAAUCUUUCGUUAUUAUGGAUUAAGUGGUGAUCACUUGGGUAUCUAUAAGGUAGUGUUUAUGGCACUUCUUUUUUUGCGGGCAUACACUUGAGAGUCUGGCCAACUUUCUUCUGUCGCUCUCCCAGUAGUUGGGUAACUUUUGUUGCGUGAGGAUACAGUGUUUUAAUUGAGAGUGAUCACAUUAUCCAUUAUCUGAUAGUAGACUAGUUUUGUGAAGUUCAGGGGGGUGAAUGUAGCCAGUAAGGAAGAGGAAUGUUAAUUUAUUGAUAAUAUUCGGGAAUGAACUUCCCAAAACUAAAAAAAACUAUGCAUUUAUGUAUUAUAUGCCUACCGGGCGUAGGAACCUUAUUUCGACACUUGUUUAAGUGGGACCGCAAUUAGUGUUGCACGCUUUGCUCUCGGAGAGUGCGGGAGAGUUGCGUCAGCCUCAGUCGGAGUCCAGCCGCUGACGGGGAAAGACGAGUAAAAGUUUCUCCUGCAAUUGUGUUUGCAUUGUGUGUGUGAAAGGAGAGGAAAGCGUGGAGAGAGUUUCUUAUUGAGUGUCCCACAUGUGUUUCAGGGACCAAUAAAUAGAUGACGCAAAGCUGUCCUGCUGUUUCCGGUGUGAUUAUUGGUUAUGUACAUAUUGGGAUCUGCUACAAUCACAUGUUGUUUGAAGUCUUGUCCUGUAGUGUUUCCAGUCCUCAUCCUUGCCAG